GUGUUAUGUGACUCCUAUAAAUAGCAAAAUAGAAGCGUAAAUAAAAAGCGUGAAGCGCUGAGGGUAUAACCUUGUCUCGUGUCGUGCGCCAUCAACGUUCUUUGGUUUUGCGAUUCGGACCCAACCCUAAUCCCCCUUUUGCAUCUCAACCAUGUCGACCAAGCAAGGUGGAAAGGCUAAGCCUUUGAAGAAACCUAAGUCUGACAAGAAAGACUACGAUGAGGUUGACAUGGCCAACAUCCAAAAGAAAAAAGAAGAGGAGAAGGCGCUAAAGGAAUUGAAAGCCAAGGCGCAACAGAAAGGUUCAUUUGGAGGUUCUGGGCUCAAGAAGAGUGGAAAGAAAUGAGGGCUCUCAGCCAUGAAACUUAAAUUAGUAUACUUCCAUCAUUAAGCUCUGUAAUUACAAUUAUCAUGAGCACAUCUCUUAUUGUGACCUACUUUUGUUGUUAGUGUUGGUAAUGAACCUAGGCAUGUCAUGAUGUACUCCCAAUAAGUUACUGAUUUGUAUUUCUACUGUGUGCCCUUCUUGGGUCCUGACUGCUGAUAAUUCCAUCUUUUCCUUUUCUUGGAUUUCA